rnacentral:rRNA from 1 species
CCUACGUGUGGCAGCAGUGAGGAAUAUUGGUCAAUGGGCGGGAGCCUGAACCAGCCAAGUCGCGUGAGGGAAGACGGUCCUAUGGAUUGUAAACCUCUUUAGGCGGGGAGCAAUGCCGGGCACGCGUGCCCGGAGGGAGAGUACCCGCAGAAUAAGCAUCGGCUAACUCCGUGCCAGCACCCGCUGUAAUACGGGGGAUGCGAGCAUUAUCCGGAUUUAUUGGGUUUAAGGGGUGCGUAGGCGGAUUUGUAAGUCCGCGGGAAAAUGUACGGGCUCAACCCGGGCCGGCCGUUGAAACUGGGGAUCUUGAGUGGGCGAGAAGUAUGCGGAAGGCGUGGUGUAGCGGUGAAAUGCAUAGAUAGCACGCAGAACUCCGAUUGCGAAGGCAGCAUACCGGCGCCCGACUGACGCUGAGGCACGAAAGCGUGGGGAUCGAACAGGAUUAGAUACCCGUGUAGUC